rnacentral:rRNA from 1 species
GAUAAUUGGGCUCUAAAAUAUGCACACAUCGCCCGUCGCUCUCGUGAUAAAUGAGAUAAGUCGUAACAUAGUAGAUGUAUUGGAAAAUGUAUCUAGAAAGUCA